UGUGAUGUCGCCUUGCGGGACUGGUCUAGCUGGAGUCCCAGCUUGAGGGUGGCAGCAUGGCCAUGCAGAAAGGUGACCUGGUGUCUCUGUGUGUGAGACACACAGCACAUAGGCUCUGGUGUCCCAGCCACAUUUGGGUUUGGCUUUUGUGCCAGUGAAGCGGAACCAUCUGUUUGAUUGGAGUCAGAGACUGCUGGAGAGCUGCCUGCUCCCUAUGCCCAUGGUCACUGCAGCUACAGUGCAUCUGAAAUUGAGCUCAACAUUCCUUUCAAAUCGGCCACUACGGUUUGCAGAUAGUGUGUCCCCAUCAGACUUCAUGUUGAAGGUGGCCCUGUGUGUGACAGCCUGGAGAGUCGUCUUCAGAGAGCUGCCCCAGGAAAGGGCAGCAGCCUCGUGGAAGCCUAGUUCUCCUUGCUGCUCCUCUCCACUGAGGAUGGAGGAUGGCUCAGUGUGCUCUCCGCCCCCCACCUCUGGGGCCUCCUCAACCUGCCAGGCACAGGUGUUCCCACAAGGAGAUGCUGCAGGUCUGGCUGGCUGAAUCACCUCACUGGAAACCAAGUGCCUUAAUGUGCAUUGAAAGAGCUCUGCUGUUAAGUCUUCCAGCACUCCCUGCUUCCCAUCUAACUUAGAGCAGUUUCCUCACCACCUCCUGAGGUGUCCUGCAGGGGCAACGCCUCACCUGUUUGAGAGUUGCAUGGAGGACAAAUGAAUCCAGCACCAUUUGCAAAGUCAUUGAACUUGUAGCUAAGAAGAACGCUGCCUGUUCUUGGAAUCCUAGAUAGAACAAUCACUGGCAAUUAGAAGCAAUUUGAUUAAAUGGGCUUCCUUGGGUGUUGUAGUGGUUCUAAUGAAUGCUCUAAAAUUUUCAGUUGUUAGUCUAGCAAUAAAUCUUUGUAAAUAGGGAGGAAUGGAAGGGUUGAAGGGAGGGCUGAGCAAGUGAAAAAUAAGAACCAAGAGAGACUAUGUAAAGGUGCAAAUUUCCAAUGAUGAAUGUCAUUAUAUUGUAUACCUAAAAUGUGGGGUUUUUUUAUGAAAUGGAGUACUACUCAGCCAUAAAAAAUGAGAAAUUAGAGACAUUUAUAGCUAAAUGGAUGCACACUGAAGUGAUACUCUUUUUUUUUAUUAAUUCUUUUAUUGGUACAUUUUAGGAAUACAACACAAUUACAUUUCUCAUUGGAAAAAGGGAGGGCUAGGAAUGGGGAAAAAAUAAGAACCAAGGUGCAUUAUGUAAAGGUACAGUUCCCAAUGAGAAAUGUAAUUGUGUUGUAUACCUACAAUGUACCAAUAAAAGAAUUUAAUAAAAAAAAUAAUUUAUGAUGAGAGGGACGAAAGAGAGAGAGAGAGAGAGGGAGAGAGACAGUUGCUUCUGUUAAAUUGAGGCGGAGUUCUUUCUUAGGGGAGUUCAUUUAGUGUUGUGUGACAGCAGAAAACCAUUUAAAAUAUGUUCAGAGCAAGACACCUGGCUAUUUUCUUCAUUUCUGCUCAAGUUCCCAUGCCUUGUUUACAAAGUGAUCAGUUACACUGAAAUGUUUAUCAGCAAUGUUGAAGAGAAAGCUAUUAAAUACCAUUUAAAGCCAGAUAAUAUUCAGGCAUGUUGCAAACCAGUUGUCUUGAGAAACCUUUUAUCAAGAAACCUUUUCUAAGUGAACUGCUAUUAAAUUUCCAAAGUAAAAGUCUCUACCAGUUGCAUUAGAUUUUAAUAGCAAUGAGAUUGGUGUCUCAAUUCAGUCCAGUGAAGCUUCAAGAAACUUAGGAAAAGAAGAUUGGAGAAAAAUACGAGCCAAAUACUCCUAGGCAUAUUUAGGUUUAUUUAAGAUCUUAUAUAUUGAGUGAAUAUAUGUAUAUGCAUAUUUUAUGAGUAUAGACAGAGAAAGUGGAAAUAUGCAUCUUGAUCUCUAUUGGUGGUGGCUUAGGAUAAAGAUGUUAACACAGAGAAUUGAUCUCCCUGUGGGCUGGUUUGCCCACAUGACUAUAGCCAAUUUGUGUCCUUGGUACAGCCUGAAGUCAUGGAUGGAUGGAUGCAAAGCCAGGUGCAUUGCAGCAAGGAUAACAUUUAAUUAGAGGGGUCAUAUAUACGCAUUUUAUUCUCCUUCCUUAUGCAUACAGAGCUCAAUGUUAGGAUGAUCCAGUGAUUAGCUGUUGUUCCAGGAAGUGCUUUUCUCUUAACCACGUCAAGAUGGUGGGGUACAUCAAAUUCAAAGGAAAGGGAAUAUAUGGGAAAUAGUGAAUAUCUGUCAAACCUCAGUUAAAUGGUAUCAGUGAGGAAUAAAUUGUUUUAAAGAGGUAAAUUUUGGUGAGUGCUGCUUUGUUCCUUUAAACCUUCAAUUUUUAAAACUUAACUUUGGAUGGAAAUAUCUCAAAAUAAUUAGCUAUUUCCCUGCCUUUUGAAACAAAGCAUCUGGAAUAUGAAUCAGCAUUUUUAAAAUAGUUUAUUACCAUGAAUCUUAACUAGAUACGUUGGGAAGCAUGCGGUAAAUUUUCUCUCUAACUAGCUGGCCUGCGAAUGCUGUCCCCCUCCAGGGUUCCUGCGUGUGCUCAUGGAUGCUCUAUUUUUCUUAGGGCCAGUAGUUUCUCGCCAUUGCCAACAUUAAUACUAAUGCUCGCAUCAUCACCAGUAACAGCAUGUGUUAGAAUUGCGUGGAGUAGAAGGUUCAUAGAUCCUCAGUGAGUCCGGAGAGGUAUUUACCUGGACUGAUCACAAGCUUUGUGUCAUCUAAUUUGGUGACCAAGAGAUCUUUCUGCUUUGUUUCUUCUUGGUAUUUGAUUGGUCUCUUUUGUUAUACAUAGGCAAGCUUGCUG
rnacentral:lncRNA from 1 species